rnacentral:tRNA from 1 species
GGGCCCAUACCCCGACAAUGUUGGAAACACCCCUCCCGCCCCUACUA